UCUUUUUGUUUUAUAUUUAAAGUCUGGUCUGCCCACUGAAUUUUUAAAUGGCCGCGGUAUUUUGACCGUGCUAAGGUAGCAUAAUCAUUAGUUUUUUAAUUGAAAGCUGGAAUGAAAGGUUGGAUGAAAAAAAGACUGUCUCUAUUUAAAAAAUAAAAUUUUAUUUUUAAGUUAAAAAGCUUAAAUAAUUUUAAAAGACGAGAAGACCCUAUAGAGUUUUAUAAAAUUUAUUUAUUUUUAUAGUUAGAAUUUUAUUAUUUAUAAUAGUAUAUUUAUUUAAUUGGGGUGAUUGAAAAAUUUAAUAAACUUUUUUUUUAUUAUAAUAUUUUUAUAUAAGUGUUUGAUCCAUUUUGUAUUGAUUAUAAGAUUAAAUUACCUUAGGGAUAACAGCGUAAUUUUAUUGGAGAGUUCAAAUCGAUAAUAGAGAUUGCGACCUCGAUGUUGGAUUAAAA
rnacentral:rRNA from 1 species